GUUGCCUUAGAGCAAUUUCUCCCUCGUCAUCCCUUUUCCCCUUACAGUUUGCUGUCACUACCGACUACGGGCCAGACUGUGCACUUCUAAGAAUCCUUCAGAUGGAGUCAGUGGGACUGCUCAUAUGAACUUCUGCCUUCCUACAUGUGAACUUCAAAGCCUUUGAUAGUCGUGAAGCAUCAGAGGAGCCUUUAUGCUAAGUAAAACCUAUGUGAAAAGAGCACUGCUUCUGAUCCCACCAGGAGCUGCUAUACAUCCCACUCUUUCUUAUCUUUUUCAUCCUCUGAGCCUGGAUAAAGCAGUCAGUCCGCAUUUGUUUGGGUGGUCAUGGCUAUACCUUUACUAUGCUGUGUAAGCAAAACCCAUUAUACUGCUUACCUGCUGGGCUUGCAGGCCAACCUGGAUACUGUGCUGUGAACCAGCCUAGUUGGUCCUUUGCUAGAUGGCUAUGCUCUGCGCUUUAGGACCCUGCACAUGUGGCAGAGUGCACAGAGCAGCUUCCUUCCGUCCCAGCCUCCCUUACAGUGUCAUCAGGCAGACAGGUUGGCUAAAGAAAGGUUACCUAAAAGGACAUCAUGACCACCAAGAGCUGGGACUUAGGGGCAGCAGCUCCCAAGAACAGGUGCUAUGUGGAUACAGCCAGUAUGAUGGAGUGGGGAAUUUCUUCCCUAUAGCAGAACCAAUGAUGAGGGCUACAGAAUUAGGGAAUGACACAGCAUGUCAAUGACUAUCGUGUUCUUGGUGGAUGAUUUGCAAGGGGCCAAAGUAGCAAAGGCUGAUAUGUUCAAGCCUCACUCAUUCAGUGCAACACAAGAGACUCAGCAGGGGCUGACAGAAGCUGCUGCCUGGGUGGCGGGGAGGUGGCCUGGGCAGGCUAGUAGACCCUGGGAGAGGUGGCAUGGCCAUCAGCAGAUUGCGAUGUGCCCAUGUCUCGCUAUUUCUUUCCUCAGGUGCUGUCAGAGUGGAGAAGCUGCAGUCUAGUAGGACAGGCCAUGGCGUAGCCAGAGGAAGCGCUGAAGUAGUAUAGACGCCUCAAGAGAAAGUGUCUAUGAAGAGCGAACAAAUAGCAUUGGGGACUUUGCCGGGAGAAAGCAAUGCAACAGAGAGUCAGUCUUGGACAUCUCUCCAUUGCAAAUGUUGUCACAUGCCUAAAGCCACUGGGAAAUGUUUCAUUUUUGACAAAAAAGUGGAUGAAGGCAAUCUGUCCUCCUCCUCCCCCCACCCAAGAACAAACUUCAAGCAAAAUUUGGUCAGAAAUAUUCUGGCUGAUUCCUAGAUCCAACCAGAAAGUGGCAGAGGAAAGACAAACCCGAAGUGCCUUUACAUCAGCUAGUACAAAAACUGUUUCCAGCUCUGGAUUUCAAGACUGUGGCCAGAUCUGGCAGGUGAUAUCUGGAGGAAAUGUGGGGGAAUAUAGGGGAGUUGAGUUUGGCCUGUUUCUAAAAUCCAUGUGCAAGAGUCUUCAUGUACAUGCUUCAUAAGCCCACAGUAAAUACCAUAAUUUUCCCAUUUCACAAAGUUAAAUGCCCACAUGCCCACCUGCACACAGAAAAAUUGAUCCAGGUGCAAUUGGGAUUCAGACAGCCUGUGGAGUUUAGAAAGGUCAUUUUCAGACUGGGGAGAGAUUGAGGGUGUUGCUGUUAAUCGAAGAAAGGAUAUUUAACAUCUUUCUGACAAUAAACAAUGCAAAUAACA